AACGAACGCUGGCGGCAGGCCUAACACAUGCAAGUCGAACGCCCGUAGCAAUACGGGAGUGGCAGACGGGUGAGUAACGCGUGGGAACGUGCCCUUCGGUUCGGAAUAACUCAGGGAAACUUGAGCUAAUACCGGAUACGUCCGUAAGGAGAAAGAUUUAUCGCCGAAGGAUCGGCCCGCGUCGGAUUAGCUAGUUGGUGAGGUAACGGCCCACCAAGGCGACGAUCCGUAGCUGGUCUGAGAGGAUGAUCAGCCACACUGGGACUGAGACACGGCCCAGACUCCUACGGAGGCAGCAGUGGGGAAUAUUGGACAAUGGGCGAAAGCCUGAUCCAGCCAUGCCGCGUGAGUGAAGAAGGCCUUAGGGUUGUAAAGCUCUUUCAGCGGGGAAGAUAAUGACGGUACCCGCAGAAGAAGCCCCGGCUAACUUCGUGCCAGCCGCCGCUGUAAC
rnacentral:rRNA from 1 species